GUCUAUGGCCAUGCCACCCUGAAUGUACCAGAUCUCGUCUGAGCUCAGAAGCUAAGCAGGAUCAGGCCUGGUUAGUACUUGGAUGGGAGACCACCUGGGAAUACCAAGUGCUGUAGGCU
rnacentral:rRNA from 1 species